rnacentral:rRNA from 1 species
GCGCGAAAACUUUACAAUGCUGGCAACAGCGAUAAGGGAACCUCGAGUGCCAGGUUACAAAUCUGGCUGUCGAGAUGCCUAAAAAGCAUUUCAUAGCAAGGGCCGGGCAAGACCGGUGCCAGCCGCCGCGGUAACACCGGCGGCUCGAGUGGUAACCGUUAUUAUUGGGUCUAAAGGGUCUGUAGCCGGCCGGAUAAGUCUCUUGGGAAAUCUGGCAGCUCAACUGUCAGGCUUUAAGGAGAUACUGUCUGGAUCGAGGCCGGGAGAGGUGAGAGGUACUUCAGGGGUAGGGGUGAAAUCUUGUAAUCCUUGAAGGACCACCAGUGGCGAAGGCGUCUCACCAGAACGGACCUGACGGAAAGGGACGAAAGCUAGGGGCACGAACC